rnacentral:pre_miRNA from 1 species
AUCACCUGGGGAUCUUGUUAAAAGGCAGAUUCUGAUUUUGGAGGUCCGGGGUGGGGGCUCAGAGUCUGCAUUUCUAACAAGCUUCCAGGUGACACUGA